AAAAUAUAAUAAUUACCACGUAGUUUUACGACCACAUCAUAACAAUAUUUUUCAUUUAUGUAAAUAAUCGGUGAUAAAUAUCAAAUAAAUUACGAAUAAUAAAAAUUGCACAGUCAUGAUGAAAAUCGAUCCACAUGGUUAUCGAAAACGGAAGCAAUCGCACUAAAUUGCCAGUGCCGUUUUUAUAUUAACACAAUAUAUGUAACUAGUGCUUGAAUUGAGUGCCUCUUCUUCGUAGCAGUACCCUCGAGCCGAUUUCACGACUUUAUCGAUGUUGAUAUUCCUGAAAAGCACGCAUAUAUGUACAAUAUAGUUUGUGGUAAUUUUACCGCGCUUUUCUAAUUCGAGAUCUCGUUUCACCGCCAUUGUGAUAAACACGCGUAGUUGUGAUAAAACGAGAUGACAAUGAAAUUAAUGGCGUUAAUAAUCGAAAAGUGUAUUGUAAUUGUGCUGUUACUACUACAAAUACUGGGUCUUUUAAAUUUGGAAGAAUUAACCCAUUAACUGAGUACUCUUGGGACACGCUUGGCUGAACGUUAAUGCAGCAUUCUAUUUUAUACGAACCUGCAAACUGCACAAUGGUCUCUCGUCGGUUAACACAUCAGUGGACGGAACAUGGCGCCGAAAAUGGAGCAAUUCAACAGCAUUCCUACAAUAUUUGCAACGAGAACGUCUAAAUUAAAAGACUUCUCUAUUAUACAUACGUGGAAUUUUUCUUUUUGCUUCUUUGGCAUCAUAAAAGGAAGAGGUUUUAUAUCAUAAUCUUGAAUUGAAACCUUUAUAUUUCAACCUUUAAAAAAUAAAUGAACGUGUUAAGACGAAGGAUUUAUUAAAAAUGGGUAUCGUUACCUGCUUGGAAGAGUAACGCACCCCUCCAACCGAAUCGUUUGACCAGCACGUCUGAGAUAGGCGCGAGCAGAAAGGCGCCGAUUCCGGAUCCGCAGACCGCGAUCCCGGUGGCCAGUGCUCGCCAUCUUUCAAAAUAAAAUCCGGUAGUUAUCACAGCCGGCACGUAAAUCAGGCCUGCCCCGAUACCUCCUGACAAUGCAAGAUACAAAGACCACGUGAAAGUAAUAAGUGAUAAAGCACGGAAUUUUCUUCUUUUUUUUUUUUUUAUUUCUUUUUCCCCCACUAUUCGACUUGAGACUCGUUUCGUGUACGAUUCAAAAUGAUAGACGAAGCUCUAUCUUUUAAAUUGCUUAUUAAUUUAAUAAAUAAAUAUCACGUUUUUUUUUUGUAUCAAUUUUUAUGUUUGUUUGAACUUCUACUACUUUUAUUACUAAUCGAUUCUUUCAAAAUGUCCAAUAUGUUAAUUAUCUUUUUUACGUGGUAGAGGAUUUUAUUUAAUCUCUCGAUAUAUGGUAAUUUUCGAGAUCGCGUGAUUUCGUCGAUAAUUGUACGAGAGGGAGUUCAUUCAAUUCCCAAGCUUUAAUAAUUUAAACGUUAAUUGUUAAAUAUAAUUUAUAUCAUUUAGAGUA